rnacentral:rRNA from 1 species
UGAGGGAUAUUGGUCAAUGGGCGCAAGCCUGAACCAGCGACGCCGCGUGGGUGAAGAAGGUCUUCGGAUCGUAAAGCCCUUUUCCCACUGAAGAGGAAGGACGGUAGGUGGGGAAGAAGUCUCGGCUAACUACGUGCCAGCAGCCGCGGUAAAACGUAGGAGACAAGCGUUAUCCGGAGUUACUGGGCGUAAAGGGCGUGCAGGUGGCGUCUUAAGUCUGUUGUGAAAGCGCCUGGCUUAACCGGGCGAGGCCAAUGGAGACUGAGAGGCUGGAGGACGGCGGAGGGGUGUGGAAUUCCGGGUGUAGUGGUGAAAUGCGUAGAGGUCCGGAGGAACACCAGAGGCGAAGGCGGCACUCUAAGCCGUACCUGACACUGAGACGCGACAGCACGGGGAGCAAACG